AACGCACCUUGCGCCCCUUGGUAUUCCGAGGGGCACACCCGUUUGAGUGUCGUGAAAAUCUCAACCUUCUCGGUUUCUUCUUGACACCGAAGAAGGCUUGGACUUUGGAGGUCUUUGCUGGCGUCUCUCUCUUUUGAAGGCCAGCUCCUCUUAAAUGAAUUAGCGGGGUCCUCUUUGCUGAUCCUCGACAUGUGAUAAGAUGUUUCCAUGUCUUGGUUUCUGGCUCUGUUGCCUUUGGGACCCGCUUCUAAUCGUCUCGACGACAACGCUUGGGCGUGUCUCCCUUCUCGGGAAACACCCUCAACCUCACGAACCCUUGACCUCAAAUCGGGUGAGACUACCCGCUGAACUUAA
rnacentral:misc_RNA from 1 species